GACGAACGCUGGCGGCGUGCUUAACACAUGCAAGUCGAACGUGCUUUUUGUGGAAUUUCUUUCGGGAAUGGAAAUGAAAUGAAAGUGGCGAACGGGUGAGUAACACGUUAGCAACCUACCUUACACAGGGGGAUAGCCGUUGGAAACGACGAUUAAUACCGCAUGAGACCACAGAAUCGCAUGAUAUAGGGGUCAAGGCUUUAUCGGGGUAAUAAGGGCUCGCGUCGGAUUAGCUAGUUGGAAGGGUAAAGGCCUACCAAGGCGACGAUCAGUAGCCGGUAUGAGAGAAUGAACGGCCACAUUGGAGCUGGGACACAGUCCGGACUCCUACGGGAGGGAGGAGUGGGGAAUAUUGCACAAUCGGGGGAACGCUGAUGCAGCGACGCCGCGUGAGCGAAGAAAGUUGUCGAGUCGUAAUGCUCUGUCCUAUGAGAAGAUAAUGACGGUAUCAUAGGAGGAAGCCCCGGCUAAAUACGUG
rnacentral:rRNA from 1 species